GACGAACGCUGGCGGCGUGCUUAACACAUGCCAGUCGAACGGAAAGGCCCUGCUUUUGUGGGGUGCUCGAGUGGCGAACGGGUGAGUAACACGUGAGUAACCUGCCCUUGACUUUGGGAUAACUUCAGGAAACUGGGGCUAAUACCGGAUAGGAGCUCCUGCUGCAUGGUGGGGGUUGGAAAGUUUCGGCGGUUGGGGAUGGACUCGCGGCUUAUCAGCUUGUUGGUGGGGUAGUGGCUUACCAAGGCUUUGACGGGUAGCCGGCCUGAGAGGGUGACCGGCCACAUUGGGACUGAGAUACGGCCCAGACUCCUACGGGAGGCACCAGUGGGGAAUAUUGCACAAUGGGCGGAAGCCUGAUGCAGCAACGCCGCGUGCGGGAUGACGGCCUUCGGGUUGUAAACCGCUUUCGCCUGUGACGAAGCGUGAGUGACGGUAAUGGGUAAAGAAGCACCGGCUAACUACGUG
rnacentral:rRNA from 1 species